rnacentral:rRNA from 1 species
CCGGACUCUGGGAUAAGCGCUNGNAACGGCGUCUAAUACCGGAUACGAGACAAGACGGCAUCNUCAUUGUCUGGAAAGAUUUUUUGGUCUGGGAUGGGCUCGCGGCCUAUCAGCUUGUUGGUGAGGUAAUGGCUCACCAAGGCGUCGACGGGUAGCCGGCCUGAGAGGGUGACCGGCCACACUGGGACUGAGACACGGCCCAGACUCCUACGGGAGGCAGCAGUGGGGAAUAUUGCACAAUGGGCGAAAGCCUGAUGCAGCAACGCCGCGUGAGGGAUGACGGCCUUCGGGUUGUAAACCUCUUUUAGCAGGGAAGAAGCGAAAGUGACGGUACCUGCAGAAAAAGCGCCGGCUAACUACGUGCCANCAGCCGCGGUAAUACGUAGGGCGCAAGCGUUAUCCGGAAUUAUUGGGCGUAAAGAGCUCGUAGGCGGUUUGUCGCGUCUGCUGUGAAAUCCCGAGGCUCAACCUCGGGCCUGCAGUGGGUACGGGCAGACUAGAGUGCGGUAGGGGAGAUUGGAAUUCCUGGUGUAGCGGUGGAAUGCGCANAUAUCAGGAGGAACACCGAUGGCGAAGGCAGAUCUCUGGGCCGUAACUGACGCUUGAGGAGNGAAAGGGUGGGGAGCAAACAGGCUUAGAUACCCUGGUAGUCCACCCCGUAAACNUUGGGAAACUAGUUGUGGGGUCCAUUCCACGGANUUCCGUGACGCAANCUAACGCAUUAAGUUCCCCCGCCNUGGGGGAGUAACGCCGCCCANGGNUUAAAACUCNAAGGGAAUUNANCGGGGAACCCNGCAACAAGCGGGCGGGANC